UCGAAUUUUUGCUUCUCGCUCUGGCUCAUUGACUUCGAUUUUGCUGAGAUCUUUGACAAGUCGAAACUUUUGUUGAAGUUCGUGGUGGUCAAGCUGUAGAAAAAUAGAAUUGUUUUUCGUUUGCUUUCUCGGUAGUCGCCGGAUUUUUUACGUGGUUUAGCGACAGUUCGGAGGUGUUUUAAAAGAUGUUAUGGACAAUGGUACUAUCGUUUGUGGACCAUUUGCUUUAUGUACGUAAAACGCAGUUGCCGGUCACUCGACCGGUGCUGAAAAUGCAGGAUAAAAAUGUGACAUCGGUCCUUGCGGAGUUGCAGCAUUCGUCAUCAGUAUUUCGUUUCUGUGGAAGGGCUCGAGAAAUCCAGUGAAGGAUCCGAGUGCACUGGUCAAGUGCAGCUUGCACCUGCUCGAGGAUGCACCCUUGACAUGAGACGAUGUAUUCAGUUGAUGUGAAGAAAAACAAUUUCAAGGCAUUUCGAGACAACAUUCAAAUCUGUGACUGCUAGGCGGUUUUUAAUAGAACAGCCAACGACAUUAGCUGAAUAUCUAUAGACAUCAUGCAUUCUCUACAUAGUUAUAGACCGGCUCUCUGCUUCAAUUCUAAUUAGCUGAGAAUAAUACCGCACCUCGUGGUUGGUUAGAACGCUAAUGAACGCCGAAAUAAUGAAUGGUCAUAAAUAUUGGAAACGAAACUGAUGUUUAUCACAACGAAACUAGUGGAGCUACUAGCGAUUGGCCAUCUGCUCUCUCCUGCUGUUAGAUAUCCGCCCAUCGUCCCACUAGACCUGGAAGUCAAAAAGGUUCAAUCCGAGAUCCGCCCUCGGGCACAAACGGAACUUCUGGAGCGUGUUUCAGACAAAACAUAAUGCGCCCAAAACUUCAACUCGAUUCUUUUCAGGCCCACAAGGUAUCCGCUUAGGCUGGCGAUACAAUCUCGGUGGUAUUUAUGUUCCGAAUCUCGUAGCAGCGUUUGCCGGAUAGCUGCAUAAUUUAUCAGCUUCCCAGCAGGGAUACUUUCGGAGCUUGUGACCAGAACUGCAGUUCCUUCCCAUCAUCGUCCGACCAUGAAGCUGAUCCAGGAAUCCACUGGUGUCGCAGAACCCUACUGGUUUAAAAGCGUGGCUAUACAACUUUUAAUAAUUGUUAUUUAAAAUGAAAUAAAUAAUG